ACCAAAAUGAUGAAAUUGGUAGACAUGCUAGGUUUAGGUUCUAGUUCUUUUUAAAGAGUAAGGGUUCAAAUCCCUUUUUUGGUA
rnacentral:tRNA from 1 species